rnacentral:rRNA from 1 species
AUUCCAGCUCCAAUAGCGUAUAUUUAAGUUGCUGCAGUUAAAAAGCUCGUAGUUGGAUUUCGGGUGGGCUGCGCCGGUCUCCUAACGGUUGUACUGGCGACGCCUGCCUUGCUGCCGGGGACGGGCUCCUGCCUUUACUGUCGGGACCCGGAAUCGGCGACGUUACUUUGAGUAAAUUAGAGUGUUCAAAGCAAGCCUACGCUCUGAAUAUAAUAGCAUGGGAUAACACGACGGGACUCUGGCCUAUCGUGUUGGCCUGUAGGACCAGAGUAAUGAUUAAGAGGGACAGUCGGGGGCAUUCGUAUUCCGUUGUCAGAGGUGAAAUUCUUGGAUUUACGGAAGACGAACAUCUGCGAAAGCAUUUGCCAAGGAUGUUUUCAUCG